UAUAGCCAGCCAUAUCACCCUGCAACUCACAACUGGCAACCCACUGAAGCUAAGCAGGUGUGAGCCUGCUCAGUACCUGGAUGGGAGACCUCCUGGGAAAAACUAAGGUUGCUGCUGGAA
ensembl:rRNA 5S_rRNA 5S ribosomal RNA